rnacentral:lncRNA from 1 species
CUCCUUAUAUCUAUCCUACAGGAGAAAUACCAUAUUAUCCCCAUUUUGCAGAUGAGGAGACAGAAGUGGAGAGAGGUGAAGUGACUUGCUCAACAUCACACAGUUGGCCUUCCCACGUGUGUGAGACCAUUGCUGUGGAAAGAAGCCGGGCCUGACUUCAGGGAUCUGGUGUGAAAUGACUGGACCCAUGCGUUCUGAGUAAACAAGAGAGCCCCUUCUGGCUUCUCCGGGAGGAACCAAAUGGCUUCAGCAUUCAGGCUCCAAAGCCCGAUGGAGACCAAGAGUGAUACACUGUACUCAUGGAUCAACUGCUCAGUUCUGGUUUGGGCCUCUGAGGGCUGAUGGGGUUUG